rnacentral:lncRNA from 1 species
AUUCAUUGAAGCUCAGGCCAUCUCAGCCAAGUACAGUCAAACACCAGUGACAAUCUUUAGUUGGAGUUAAGUGUCAAAUGCCCCAUUGACAAGCACAAGGAGACAGAGGUUAUGUCCCUAGUCUCAGACAUAAAUACUCAUCUGGGAGUUCAAAGGAUUGAUGCUAUUAGGCAUUACAAAUCACAAGUGCUAUUCCAUGACCAACUAUGCCAGGCAAGGAGAUAUCCUGCAAGUACCUCCCAGAAAUAUCAACCUAAUGGCCUGAAACUACAAAAGCCUUAUCCCUUUGGUGAUGUUCAAGGAGAACCUGAAGCUCAGAGUUGAAGUGACCUGUCCAAAGCCAUAUACCCAGUGUAGCUUAUACAAAAGAACCAAAAUUUUGAGAUUAAACAACUCAAUUUCCCAAGAUGGAACUGAACAAUAAACAAAAGAAUUUUUAAAAAGCUUGAUCUGGA